rnacentral:rRNA from 1 species
ACGGGUGAGUAACACGUAGACAACCUGCCGACAGGAUGGGGACAACAUUCCGAAAGGAAUGCUAAUACCGAAUGAAGCGGAGGAGAGGCAUCUCUCUUCCGUGAAAGAUGGCCUCUGAACAUGCUAUCACCUGUCGAUGGGUCUGCGUCUGAUUAGCUAGUUGGUGAGGUAACGGCUCACCAAGGCGACGAUCAGUAGCCGGUCUGAGAGGAUGAACGGCCACAUUGGGACUGAGACACGGCCCAGACUCCUACGGGAGGCAGCAGUGGGGAAUCUUCCGCAAUGGGCGCAAGCCUGACGGAGCAACGCCGCGUGAGUGAAGAAGGUCUUCGGAUCGUAAAGCUCUGUUGAUGGGGACGAAUGUGCGUGAUGCGAAUAGUGUCAUGCAAUGACGGUACCUAUCGAGGAAGCCACGGCUAACUACGUGCCAGCAGCCGCGGUAAUACGUAGGUGGCGAGCGUUGUCCGGAAUCAUUGGGGCGUAAAGGGAGCGCAGGCGGGCAUGUAAGUCUUUCUUAAAAGUUCGGGGCUCAACCCCGUGAUGGGAAAGAAACUACAUGUCUUGAGUACAGGGAGAGGGAAAGCGGAAUUCCCAGUGUAGCAGUGAAAUGCGUAGAGAUGUGGGAGGAAUACCGAUGGCGAAGGCAGCCCUCCUGGAUAAUACUGACGUUUCAUGCUCGAAAGCGGUGGGUAGGCAAACAGGAUAGAUACCCUGGGUAGUCCCA